rnacentral:rRNA from 1 species
CAAUUCUAGCCCAAAAACCAACAACCACAACUACAUAAAACCAACAAAUAAAACAUUCACCAAAUUGUAAAGUAUAGGUGAUAGAAAUACAUACCACGGAGCCAUAGAGCCAGUACCGCAAGGGAAAGAUGAAAGAUUAACUCAAAGCACUAAAAAGCAAAGAUUACACCUUGUACCUUUCGCAUAAUGAUUUAACUAGAAAAAGCUUAACACAGAGAACUUCGCUAAGCACCCCGAAAUCAGACGAGCUACCUAAAGACAGUUAUUUAUGAACACACUCAUCUAUGUGGCAAAAUAGUGAGAAGAUCUCUAGGUAGAGGUGAAAAGCCUACCGAGCCUGAUGAUAGCUGGUUACUCAGAACCGAAUCUCAGUUCCACUUAAAAUUUACCACAAGAAAUAAUAAUCCACCAUGUAAAUUUUAAUGUUAAUCUAAAGAGGGACAGCCCUUUAGAUACGGAUACAACCUUCAAUAGAGAGUAAAAUAAUCCACACAGCCAUAGUUGGCCUAAAAGCAGCCAUCAAUUAAGAAAGCGUUCAAGCUCAACCACACUUACCUCUAAAUCACAAAAACUAUCAUGACCUCCUAUAACACAAACUGAGUUAAUCUAUUUACCAAUAGAUGUAUUAAUGUUAAUAUUAGUAACAAGAAAAAAUUCUCCAAGCACAAGCUUAUAUCAGACCGAAUGAAUCACUGAUAGUUAACAUAUAUAUAGGAAAAAACAAAAACAGGCCCAACCUAUAAAACGCAAUGUUGACCCAACACAGGAGUGCUAUAAGGAAAGAUUAAAAGAACUAAAAGGAACUCGGCAAA